rnacentral:rRNA from 1 species
CGGAGGGUGCGAGCGUUGUCCGGAAUCAUUGGGCGUAAAGGGCGCGUAGGUGGCCCGGUCAGUCCGUGGUGAAAGCGCGGGGCUCAACCCCGCGUCGGCCAGGGAUACUGCCGCGGCUGGAGCACUGUAGAGGCAGGCGGAAUUCCGGGUGUAGCGGUGGAAUGCGUAGAGAUCCGGAAGAACACCGGUGGCGAAGGCGGCCUGCUGGGCAGUGGCUGACACUGAGGCGCGACAGCGUGGGGAGCAAACAGGAUUAGAUACCCUGGUAGUCCACGCCGUAAACGAUGGGCACUAGGCGCUUGGGGGAGCGACCCCCCGAGGGCCGGCGCUAACGCAUUAAGUGCCCCGCCUGGGGAGUACGGCCGCAAGGCUG